rnacentral:rRNA from 1 species
CCAGUACACGAAGUUAUGCGAAGCGUAGCGGUACCCUGAGUAGCGCGGGACACGAGAAAUCCUGUGUGAAUCCGGCGGGCCCAUCCGCCAAGGCUAAAUACUCGUAAGAGACCGAUAGCGAACCAGUACCGUGAGGGAAAGGUGAAAAGCACCCCGACGAGGGGAGUGAAACAGCACCUGAAACCGGAUGCUUACAAACAGU